UGAUCCUGGCUCAGGACGAACGCUGGCGGCGUGCUUAACACAUGCAAGUCGAACGAUGAACCAGGGCUUGCCCUGGGAAUUAGUGGCGAACGGGUGAGUAACACGUGGGCAACCUGCCCCAGACACCGGGAUAACCAUCCGAAAGGAUGGCUAAUACCGGAUAUGACCACUUUGGGCAUCCAACGGUGGUGGAAAGGAUUCUGGUCUGGGAUGGGCCCGCGGCCUAUCAGCUUGUUGGUGGGGUAAUGGCCUACCAAGGCGACGACGGGUAGCCGGCCUGAGAGGGCGACCGGCCACACUGGGACUGAGACACGGCCCAGACUCCUACGGGAGGCAGCAGUGGGGAAUAUUGCGCAAUGGGCGAAAGCCUGACGCAGCGACGCCGCGUGAGGGACGAAGGUCUUCGGAUUGUAAACCUCUUUCAGCAGGGACGAAGCGAAAGUGACUGUACCUGCAGAAGAAGCACCGGCUAACUACGUGCCAGCAGCCGCGGUAAUACGUAGGGUGCAAGCGUUGUCCGGAUUUAUUGGGCGUAAAGAGCUCGUAGGCGGUUUGUCGCGUCGGAUGUGAAAACCCAAUGGCUUAACCUUGGGCCUGCAUUCGAUACGGGCAAACUAGAGUGUGGUAGGGGAGACUGGAACUCCUGGUGUAGCGGUGGAAUGCGCAGAUAUCAGGAAGAACACCGAUGGCGAAGGCAGGUCUCUGGGCCAUAACUGACGCUGAGGAGCGAAAGCGUGGGGAGCGAACAGGAUUAGAUACCCUGGUAGUCCACGCCGUAAACGGUGGGCGCUAGGUGUGGGGAACAUUUCCACGUUCUCCGUGCCGUAGCUAACGCAUUAAGCGCCCCGCCUGGGGAGUACGGCCGCAAGGCUAAAAC
rnacentral:rRNA from 1 species